rnacentral:rRNA from 1 species
CGUAGGAGGCAAGCGUUAUCCGGAGUUACUGGGCGUAAAGGGCGUGCAGGUGGUUCAAUAAGUUAGUUAUGAAAGCUCCUGGCUAAACUGGGAGAGGUUGACCAAGACUGUUGAACUUGAGUGGAUGAGAGGUAAACGGAAUUCCGCGUGUAGUGGUGAAAUGCGUAGAGAUGCGGAGGAACACCAGUGGCGAAGGCGGUUUACUGGCAUCCAACUGACACUGAGACGCGAAAGCAUGGGUAGCGAACGGGAUUAGAAACCCCGGUAGUCCAUGCCAUAAACGAUGCACACUAAACGUUCGGUGUCCGCGGGGGCAUUGAGUGUUGAAGCAAACGCGAUAAGUGUGCCGCCUGGGGAGUACGGUCGCAAGGCUA